rnacentral:rRNA from 1 species
AUUGAACGCUGGCGGCAGGCCUAACACAUGCAAGUCGAACGAGUGGCGGACGGGUGAGUAAUGUCUGGGAAACUGCAUGAUGGAGGGGGAUAACUACUGGAAACGGUAGCUAAUACCGCAUACCAUCGGAUGUUCCCAGAUGGGAUUAGCUCGUGGGGGGGGUAACGGCUCACCUAGGCGAAGAGCCCUAGCUGGUCUGAGCGGAUGACCGUCAACACUGGAACUGAGACACGGGCCAGACUCCUAAGGGAGGAAGCAGUGGGGAAGAUUGCACAAUGGGCGCAAGCCUGAUGCAGCCAUGCCGCGUGUAUGAAGAAGGCCUUCGGGUUGUAAAGUACUUUCAGCGGGGAGGCGUUACCCGCAGAAGAAGCACCGGCUAACUCCGUGCCAGCAGCCGCGGUAAUAC